GGAAGAGCAUCGUCCCCGGUGGGCGCGCGGCCUUCAAAGCCGUUGGAGCGUGCGACACGCUCGGUGGGUUCGACUCCUGCCUCUUCCG
rnacentral:tRNA from 1 species